UACGUAGGCAGCGAGCGUUGUUCGGAGUUACUGGGCGUAAAGAGUGCGUAGGCGGUUUCGCAAGUUUGGUGUGAAAUCUCCCGGCUCAACUGGGAGGGUGCGCCGAAUACUGAAUGACUAGAGUGCGGGAGAGGAAAGUGGAAUUCCUGGUGUAGCGGUGAAAUGCGUAGAUAUCAGGAGGAACACCGAUGGCGAAGGCAGGUCUCUGGGCUGACACUGACGCUCAUGCACGAAAGCGUGGGGAGCAAACAGG
rnacentral:rRNA from 1 species